rnacentral:rRNA from 1 species
UACGGAGGGUGCAAGCGUUGUUCGGAAUCACUGGGCGUAAAGCGCGUGUAGGCGGCCUUCUAAGUCUGGUGUGAAAGCCCGGGGCUCACCCCCGGAAGUGCACUGGAAACUGGGAGACUCGAGUACCGGAGAGGAGGGUGGAAUUCCUGGUGUAGCGGUGAAAUGCGUAGAUAUCAGGAGGAACACCGGUGGCGAAGGCGGCCCUCUGGACGGAUACUGACGCUGAGACGCGAAAGCGUGGGGAGCAAACAGG